rnacentral:misc_RNA from 1 species
UGUCUCUCUCUCUCUCAUCCCACGGCUUCUCUCCCAUCAAAGACAAUUGUUUGGACUAUAGUUAUGGGUUCAACAACAAUCUUCAGUGCUUCCUCUACUGUCCCUGCAAUGAAGGUUUUAGACUGGAAGAACUACGUUGGUUUAAAGCCAACCGUUAAUGAUUUGAGGUUCAGUGGUGUUAAGACCUCAGUCAAAGUGUGUCCCAAGCGUGUUUUGAUCGUCAGGGCUAGUGAAACGCAGGGUGGGCCAAUGAAGAAGUUGGGGCUCAGUGAUGCAGAAUGUGAAGCGCGCCGUUGUGGCGGGGAAUGUGCCUGAGGCGCCUCCUGUGCCUCCUAAGCCCGCUGCACCAGCUGGAACUCCUGUGGUUCCUUUGCUUCCACUCAGCAGGCGUCCUCGUCGUAAUCGCAAGUCACCCACAUUGAGAGCAUCAUUCCGGGAAACUAAUUUAUCACCUUCAAAUUUUGUCUAUCCACUUUUUAUUCAUGAAGGUGAGGAGGACACACCUAUUGGAGCAAUGCCUGGAUGUUACAGGCUUGGAUGGAGACAUGGACUUGUGGAAGAGGUGGCAAAGGCUCGGGAUGUUGGUGUGAAUAGCAUUGUGCUCUUCCCCAAAGUUCCAGAUGCUCUGAAGUCUCCCACAGGAGAUGAAGCAUACAAUGAUAAUGG